rnacentral:rRNA from 1 species
UCGACGGUGAUGAGGGGCUUGCCCUUCUGAUCAGUGGCGAACGGGUGAGUAACACGUGAGUAACCUGCCCUUCACUCUGGGAUAACGCUGGGAAACUGGUGCUAAUACUGGAUAUGACCUGCUCGGGCAUCCGAUGUGGGUGGAAAGAUUUAUUGGUGGGGGAUGGACUCGCGGCCUAUCAGCUUGUUGGUGAGGUAAUGGCUCACCAAGGCGACGACGGGUAGCCGGCCUGAGAGGGCGAUCGGCCACACUGGGACUGAGACACGGCCCAGACUCCUACGGGAGGCAGCAGUGGGGAAUAUUGCACAAUGGGCGAAAGCCUGAUGCAGCGACGCCGCGUGAGGGAUGAAGGCCUUCGGGUUGUAAACCUCUUUCAGCAGGGAAGAAGCGCCCGGGUUUUCCCGGGUGUGACGGUACCUGCAGAAGAAGCACCGGCUAACUACGUGCCAGCAGCCGCGGUAAUACGUAGGGUGCGAGCGUUGUCCGGAAUUAUUGGGCGUAAAGAGCUUGUAGGCGGUUUGUCGCGUCUGCUGUGAAAUUUCGGGGCUCAACCCCGAACUUGCAGUGGGUACGGGCAGACUAGAGUGUGGUAGGGGAGACUGGAAUUCCUGGUGUAGCGGUGAAAUGCGCAGAUAUCAGGAGGAACACCGAUGGCGAAGGCAGGUCUCUGGGCCACUACUGACGCUGAGAAGCGAAAGCAUGGGGAGCGAACAGGAUUAGAUACCCUGGUAGUCCAUGCCGUAAACGUUGGGAACUAGGUGUGGGCCUCAUUCCACGAGGUCCGUGCCGCAGCUAACGCAUUAAGUUCCCCG